rnacentral:rRNA from 1 species
AAACUUUUAACAACGGAUCUCUUGGCUCUCGCAUCGAUGAAGAACGCAGCGAAAUGCGAUAAGUAAUGUGAAUUGCAGAAUUCAGUGAAUCAUCGAAUCUUUGAACGCACCUUGCGCCUUUUGGUAUUCCGAAAGGCAUGCCUGUUUGAGUGUCAUGA